rnacentral:rRNA from 1 species
GCCCUACGGGACGCAGCAGUGGGGAAUAUUGCACAAUGGGGGAAACCCUGAUGCAGCGACGCCGCGUGAGUGAAGAAGUAUUUCGGUAUGUAAAGCUCUAUCAGCAGGGAAGAAAAUGACGGUACCUGACUAAGAAGCCCCGGCUAACUACGUGCCAGCAGCCGCGGUAAUACGUAGGGGGCAAGCGUUAUCCGGAUUUACUGGGUGUAAAGGGAGCGUAGGGGGCAUGGUAAGCCAGAAGUGAAAACCCGGGGCCCAACCCCGCGGCUGGCUUUUGGA